UGAAGGGAAGAGAGAAAGGCGGAGGCCGCGAGGCCGAGCGUGAGGGGGACAGCGGGGGCGGGGACGCGGGCCGGGCGGCGAGCCGGCAGCCUCUGCUGGAGGAAGCAGUGCCCCCACGGACGCGGAGGGGCCGAGCGGCGGCCGGCAGGAGCCCUGGCGGCGGGCUGCGCGCGCUCCAGCGCCGCGUCGUGCCCGCGUCCCUCCAGGCCUGCCCGCGCCCGGAAGCACGCGCGCCUUCCCUUCAAGGGCACGCCGGCACUUCGGUGUGCUCGGUCCGGGAGCUUGCCUCUUCCUGUCCGCGUCCAGAGGCCGCUGCCGACACAGCAGUGACACGAUACCAAAACACCGGGCUUCCACAGAGAGAAGGCUUGGAAGACACGCCUGCAUCGGCCAUCAAGAGGGCAACGCCGACCCACCGCGGAAUCAGACAGUGUCUGUCAGCCCCUGGCCGGCCGCAGCCUCCAGGCCGUGCCGCGGGUGUGCGUGAGGAGAUGCCCGCCAGGCCGCGGGGCACAGAAAGUGGACUCGGAGCCUGAGCACACUUGACCCUGUCUGCGCUCCCGAGCCACCAGCCCGUCCUUCCCCGGGAGUAGGAAGCGGCUGGCACUUUGUCUCUGAACUCAAAGCAUCAGGCUGCAAUCGGGGCCCCAGCCUGCAUGGACAUCUCAAACCCUGAGUCUGGCAAAGCCAAGGGAGGAAAGAGGUUCCGGUUGGAGCACAGUUUGAGCAGCAGACUCCGGGACAGACACUGGGCCAGGAGCUCCUGGGCAGAGGCUCCGCACAUCAGAUCUUGGGUGCUGGGAACCCGCCCCUCUGGGCCAUGCUCCACAUUCCUCUUCCCUUUCCGGUGCAUGUGCAGUAAUGGAGCCGGAAACUUGUUUGCAGGAUGAAAAGACUUUAUCCCCAAACUGCCCAUCUGUCUGAUCACCUUGCUGAACUCUGAAGGACGUUAACUUCUAAGGACAUAACUGUUGAUUUUCCUGAACUGAGUUUUACUGUGUGGAAAUGGCAGCAGUUCCUCCUACCUUUUAAUAUUUACACCAUCUUAUCUGUGUCCCUGAACUGGGCAGCAUUUCCAGGACAACAGUGAACCUGUGACAUCAGGGGCAGCUCAGGCUGGUUCUGACGUGUUUCUAAUGUCUUAGCAAGAAGGAUUUUUUUUUUUUUUUUUUUUUUGGUAGUUUUAUGGCAGAAAGCCUUAUCAGGCUAAGGAAUUUUUUUACCCAAGUUUGAUAAGAAAUUUAUUAGGAAUGAGUAUAAACUGGGGUGGAAGGGUAUAAACUUUAAGAAAAGCAUUUAAAUAACUUACUGAAAUGAUCAGUUUUUAUGCUAUGAUAGCGAAUUACAUGAGUCGAUUUCUGUUGACAUGAUUUAUCCUGGAAUAAAGCCUAUUGUGAAUUUUUUUAUGUACUAAAAGAUUAUAUGUGCUAAUACAUUUUAUUCAGUACUUUUAAACCAGGUUCUUAAGUCAGAUGAGAUGUCAGCUUUCUUUUGUCUACAGCUUCCUGGCUAUGUUAUGAGUUCAGGGUCAGGUCUGUCUGAUAAAUAACAUGCUUGCAUGAGAAUGAUCUGUUCGAGUACUUGUCAUAAUAUACAGUGGGCUAGAAUCUGUGUGUAGAACAUUCAUGUUCCAUGUACUUUGGAGGAGAAUAAGCCAGUUUGCUCUGCUGGUUGUCAGGACAGAAAUAUACAAUGGACACAGA